rnacentral:rRNA from 1 species
UACUACAAGCGCUAGCUUAAAACCCAAAGGACUUGGCGGUAUCCCACCCACCUAGAGGAGCCUGUUCUAUAACCGAUAAUCCCCGUUCAACCUCACCACUUCUUGCCAUUACCGUCUAUAUACCGCCGUCGUCAGCCCACCCUGUGAAGGAUUAAAAGUAAGCAAAAAGAAUAAACUCCAAAACGUCAGGUCGAGGUGUAGCAAAUGAAGUGGGAAGAAAUGGGCUACAUUUUUUCCCAAAAACAUACGAAUGGUAAACUGAAAACCACCUAAAGGUGGAUUUAGCAGUAAGAGAAGAUCAGAAUACUUCUCUGAAAUCGGCUCUGGGAUAAGCACACACCGCCGUCACUCUCCUAUAAAUCCAUUUCCCCAAAAGAGGAGGCAAGUCGUAACAUGGUAAGUGUACUGGAAAGUGUACUUGGAAUCAAAAUGUAGCUAAAUCAGUAAAGCACCUCCC